UGUCAAAUCGACAAGAUCGUAACACGCGCGUUCGAACUGCUGUUCAAUUAACCAAGUUAAAUAGAGGCACUGCUGCAAGUAUCUUGAUAAAUGCUAGUGCACGUUAAUUAACCGUCGAAUAUCAGCGUAGACUCGUGAGAAAGUAAGGCGUAAGGAGCAUGUGUAAAUUUGAGGUUACGACGUUUGUGAGUUUCCUGUGAGUUUUACGUUAGUCUAUCGCAGUGUGACAUGGGAACCUCAAAUGGGAUUAUUGGUUAACACUUUAUACACGAUCAUAACGAUUGUAAGGAAUACAUAAGUUUUGAUUUUCGUAAUAUACAAAUUAUUACUGAGUGACAAACGAGUGACGUGUAUGGCAGUUUGAACAAAUGUUGCUUUAUAACAAAGCGUUGCGUCUACAUCUGCAGCACACAAACGUACUCGGAAUUAUGGUGCAUGACGGUUAUGAAAUCAAUAAGUUUAUCACCGCUUUCCAUGUCGUUCCACAUAUGUUUCCAUCGGCAUCCAUGACUAUGCCUAUGCGCCGUAGAUUGCAGUGAGAGAAUUGUAGACUGUCAAACGUUGGCCAUCGUAAAUCUUUAUAAGAAGAUAUUUAUAUGCAGCGAGACAAAAGGUGACAGCCCACUGGCGCCAGCCUAUCAAAUCUCGCGGAGGACGAUACAGCCAAAUGUGUUAAAUCAAUUAAAAUGUUAACGCAGCCAGUCAACCUCGGCUUAUCUUGACAGUGUUCGCUGGGUCCGAGGCUCAUUCUGAACGCAGUGUAUCUUUCAUGUUAGGAAGAAAAAGAAAAUAUCGAAACUUCUUCCGUCGAUCGGCUCUCGACGAUCUCGAGUACGAAACUGUUAAACGAUUCCUAACAGGCCUCAUAUCAGUUUUGAAGUGGUUCGGUCGUCCAUUCUCGCGAUAACAUACAUAACCGCGCAUUAACCCAAGAGCAAUAAGUACUUCAGAUUGAAUGUAUAAAUUUAAUGACACCGUUCGAUCAUCCAUAUUUCGCGCAAGUGCUAUACUUCGAAAUACGGCAUAACCUUAAAAAUAUGUACAAUUAAUCAAAAUACAUAAUGCAGAUUAAACGAGCACAUUUUUCUUCCACGUAAAAUACAUUGACCUUGACAGGUUAUGGCUACUCGUGAUUUGAACGAUGACAUUGAUAAACUCUUUAGCAUCGACCAAUUAAAUUCAUAAUGCUAUAAAGUUACCAGCAAAGCGAACUGAGCUGCUGAAUGAACCCUGUCAAGGAUUACGCGCGUUUCAUUUAAUAGCUCAU